rnacentral:lncRNA from 1 species
GCUGGGUGUAAGGAUGAGUGAGGGUUGGACUGAGGUAGUCCAUAGCUUCAUCCUGCUUCUCCACUGUGGUGCUGAAAGUCAUGCUGCUGUCCUCUGCUUGCCUAUGGGAACGGCCCUCUUCUGCCUUACACCUGGGUUUGGAGCCCCACCAACUCCCCCGCUUCAACCUGGGACAUGAACGUAUUUGGGUUCAUUUUAAGAACUACUGUUCUAUAUUUAAUGCUUAUCGUCCAAAGGCAACCAACAAUGGUAAAAGUAGGAAUAAUGAGUUUUUCUGUUUUAUUCAGUCACCUAUGAUAUUCUACUAUGACUCAACAGCCUUUCAGAGUUGCCUUUGUAGAUUUAUAUCCCUGUGCAGCACAUGGGGAUGUGUGAAACUUAAUCCUCAGCCUGAAGGGUCCCCACUUGCACCAGCGAAUAGCUACAGUAGCUUUUUGCGUGGCGCUGACUGGUAAGAAGGUUCAGGAGGGCAGUCACGUGUCCUAGCAAGGCAGAGUUCCCGCGUUCAUGCCAGGUAUGGGCCAAAUCGGUAAGAAGUGGUAUUCGCUAAGCAAGCAGCAUGAUGUCCUUUACACCUGCACUGAAUGCAUAACCACAUUUCUGCCCCCAUGGCAUCCAAUUAAAAUCAGUUUCCCCUCAUUCUACCCUGAGGGCACAGUAAAACCAACAAGUAAUACCAACGAGCCACAGGCUCAGGCCAUCCAUCUCCAAUGUCCCCUCUGCACUAUCUAGCAUCAGAAACCUUUCACUUACUGGUCAAUAGAGCUCUGUCUCCUGCGGAGGUCCCCAAUGUGCUGCAGCACUGCUGCCACCCUGGGUUGCACCACCUGACUGCCCUGUGCUGCACCCCCUGUCCUCCCCUUCUUCUUCCGGCCCAUCAGUUCCACUGGAGAGGGUAGCUUUCCUAGACCCAGCCUUCCCCCUUUUUUAACUCUCUGUCCUUCUAGAGGUGAUCCUGCCAUGUCCACGCCAACCUGCAUGUAAACAUAAUGGCAAAAAAUCUGAAAACGUUUUACCUCAAUCGUAGGAUGUGCCAUUUUAAAAAUGACAGCCACAGUGAAACACAUGUUUACCAAGUCUUAGGGUACUCACUAGUCCUUCAGAUUUAUUUGAGAACAUCUGCAUCUGAAAUGGGCUGUAUGAUGUGGUGGGCUCAGGAGACACUUCACUAACGAACAGCAUACAGACCUCUAUCAGUAAGAGUGAAUUUGACUGGAGCAUUUCUGAACCUUGAUGUGUUUAUAAAAAAAGUGAGAUUGUUGGUGGUGAAAGUGAAGAGGACAUCCACCUUGGCUGACAUAGAAUCCUGUGCCAGAAAUGUUCUCUACUCUGUGACAAGGAGCUAGACUGUGGGGGGAGGGCUAGGCUCAGUCUCCAUCUCUGAACACUGACGCUGCACAACCUUGGACCUCCUGAGGGUGUGAAGAUUGGCAAACGAGAGGAAUUGAUCACCAUCUUCUGCCUCUGGUUGUUCUACCGGAGUAAAAUGCCCAGCAUUAUUAUUAUUUACUCUGUCUGCUAGGUGCCACAUUGUUACCCUGAGAGGGAAGAGCAGCUGAAAUACGAAUACUAAUGUAGAAUGUGACCUUUAAUCAAUUAAUAAUAGUCUUGAAAUUAAACUAUUGCCUGGUAUCCUAGCCAAUACCAGAACGGCCCUACAAUAACAACGUAUUUUACUAGGCUAAAGUUAGCCAGCCGGUUUCCAAUCCAGCCUGCAUUUAAAAGCCAACAAACGAUAUCAAAGUCCCGCGCAAAACGUGAGCGCGUGCCAUAAAAACGUCAGCAGCACGCGAGGAAAAUACACAGCAGAUCAACGUAAUAGAUCUACUCCUUGGCAUCACC